rnacentral:snRNA from 1 species
GGAUGUGAGGGAGAUCUGCCUACAACAUUGGUCACCUCAAUGAUCGCCAGAUUGACCAGGCUGAUCUGGCUGUCUAGGCACGUGUCCCCUUCUUUCUUGACUUCUCCAUGUGAAUCCUCCCAAAGCUGCACACUGGGUCUAAGAGGAUGACCUAUCCCAAUAGAGGCAGACCAGUCUUCUUUAGUUAAGGGUAUGGCAGUAGCUGCAUUCCCCUGCUGGAAUAUCCAUCCAAACAAGCUCUAAAGGUCAAUUUAAAUGUAGGAGACCAUAAGGUUGUCUAGCUUUCAGGAUUCCAGACACAUCCAAAUGAGGCACAGCAUGUAGCAUUCUGCCUUU